GGUCAUCGAAGGAAAAGCCUUAAUUCAUGAUC
rfam:Bacteroidetes bacterium RIFCSPHIGHO2_02_FTLL_44_7 rifcsphigho2_02_scaffold_48541, whole genome shotgun sequence.